AUUGAACGCUGGCGGCAUGCUUUACACAUGCAAGUCGAACGGUAACAGGGAGCUUGCUCCGCUGACGAGUGGCGAACGGGUGAGUAAUGCGUCGGAACGUGCCGAGUAGUGGGGGAUAACGCAGCGAAAGUUGUGCUAAUACCGCAUACGUACUGAGGUAGAAAGUGGGGGACCUUCGGGCCUCACGCUAUUCGAGCGGCCGACGUCUGAUUAGCUAGUAGGUGAGGUAAAGGCUCACCUAGGCGACGAUCAGUAGCGGGUCUGAGAGGAUGAUCCGCCACACUGGGACUGAGACACGGCCCAGACUCCUACGGGAGGCAGCAGUGGGGAAUUUUGGACAAUGGGCGAAAGCCUGAUCCAGCCAUGCCGCGUGUCUGAAGAAGGCCUUCGGGUUGUAAAGGACUUUUGUCGGGGAGGAAAUCCCCAGCGCUAACACCGCUGGGGGAUGACAGUACCUGAAGAAUAAGCACCGGCUAACUACGUGCCAGCAGCCGCGGUAAGAC
rnacentral:rRNA from 1 species